rnacentral:rRNA from 1 species
AUUGAACGCUAGCGGGAUGCUUUACACAUGCAAGUCGAACGAGUGGCGGACGGGUGAGUAAUAUAUCGGAACGUGCCCAGUAGCGGGGGCUAACUACUCGAAAUAGUGGCUAAUACCGCAUACUAAUGGAGCCGCCGGUAGGGGAUUAGCUAGUUGGUUGGGUAAAGGUUCACCAAGGCUACGAUCCGGAGCUGGGUGGAGAGGACGACAGGCCACACUGGGACUGAGACACGGCCCAGACUCCUACGGGAGGCAGCAGUGGGGAAGUGUGGACAAUGGGGGAAACCCUGAUCCAGCCAUCCCGCGUGUAUGAGAAGGCCUUCGGGUUGUAAAGUACUUUUGGCAGAGAAGCGGUAUCUGCAGAAUAAGCCACGGCUAACUACGUGCCAGCCGCCGCGGUAAUAC